GGAACUCUGGAGAGCCCCUGACAGCUGAUUUGUCAGGGCGCCGAAGGGGCAAGUCGGCGGCGACGCCGAUGAAACUCUCAGGCAAAAGGACAGAGCA
rnacentral:ncRNA from 1 species